GUCUGGGUUUUGCUAUUUGGAACUGUCAUUGAUGGUGAGAUAGAGAUGAUGGAAGAAAACCCAAAUAUACCAGAAAUGGGUAGUACACCUCCAGUGCCUAUUUAUAUUUUAUUCUCAUCAAGAUUUCCACCAGGUGACUCACACCAGUAAUCUUAUCACUUUGGGGGGCCGAGGUGGGAGGAUUGCUUGAGGCCAAGAGUUUGAGACAAGCCUGGGCAACAUAGCGAGAUUCUGUCUCUACAGAAUUUUUUUGUUUGUUUGUUUUUUGAGACAGCGGUUCACUCUUGUCGCCUAGUCUGGAGUGCAAUGGUGCGAUCUCAGCUCACUGCAGCCUCCUGCUCCUGGGAGAAUCGCUUGAACCCAGGAGGCAGAGGUUGCAGUGAGCCGAGAUCAUGCCAUUGCACUCCAGACUGGGCAACAAGAGCAAAACUCUGUCUCAAAAAAAAUAAAAA
rnacentral:sRNA from 1 species